rnacentral:tRNA from 1 species
AAGGGAGACCUAAUUCAGGUAUGGGACGAAAAAAAAGUAGUCGCUACCAAGAAUCAAUCCCAAAAGGUCGGAGCGAGGUAUGAGGCUUUCUCACUAGGUUCUGGGUUCAAACAAGACCUGAAUCAGGAACAAGGGCUAUUAGCUCAGGUGGUUAGAGCGCACCCCUGAUAAGGGUGAGGUCCCUGGUUCGAGUCCAGGAUGGCCCACCUGCACAGGUGGCAAAAACAAGAGAAGCUCCGAAUCAGCACCUUAUCUUAUCUAUAUAUAAGAGAGAAUGCUGGCUCUGAGUAAAGAGUCCAGAGGAACCUUGAAAACUGCAUAGAGCUAGGUGAAAAAGCCAAAAAAGAAGACCGCAA